rnacentral:lncRNA from 1 species
UGCGGCCUGAAGAUGCCUGAGGCCCGGACUCUCAGACCCCUAUUGCCCUUUGGUGCUGGAGGCCCAGCGGCAGCCUGAAGCCCAAGAGAGUGGAGCCUCGCGAAAUGAGGAACCUGGCACAAGGAUUUCACCAUGUUGGCCGUGCUGGUCUUGAACUCCUGACCUCAAGUGAUUUGCCUGCUUUGGCCUCCCAAAGUGCUGGGAUUACAGACAUGAGUCACCAUGCCCUGCCUGCAGCUUCUUCUUGAAGUGUUCUGGACUUGGAAGAUUUGUUGAAUUACUAUGAAGUCACAUCUAAAGUUUGAAAGAGAUCGGGUCUCACUAUUUUGCCCACGCUGGUCUUGAACUCCUGUCCUCAAGCAGGAUAUCCUCCUGCCUUGGCCUCCCAAAGUUCUGGGAUUACAGUCUCGCUCUGUCGCCAGGCUGGAGUGCACGCUGGAGCGCGAUCUUGUCUUACUACAACCUCUGCCUCCCAGAUUCAAGCGAUUUUCCUGCCUCAGCCUCCCGAGUAGCUGGGACUACAGGGACGCACCACCAUGCCCAGCUAAUUUUUGUAUUUUUAGUAGAGAUGUGGUUUCACCAUGUUGGCCAGGAUGGUCUUGAUCUCUUGACCUCGUGAUCCACCCGCCUCGGCUUCCCAAAGUGCUGGGAUUAUAGGCAUAAGCCACCACGCCUGGCCUGAAAUUAUUUUUCUAUACAGUUCUUAGAGGAAGUGUUUGGGUCACCUACAUAGGCAUGUAGUUCUUGACACUGGUUACUAGAGGAUUUAUAGAGGAUGUUCAUAUAUUCAACAAGCAUUUGUUGAAUACCUAUUAGGUGCUAGCCAUGGAAAUAUGGGAUUGAAAAAAACAGACAAAAAUCCCUAAUCUCUCUUACAAUCUAGUGAGGACAAUCAGACAGUACACAAAAUAAGCAUAAUAUAUAGUAAUCAUGUGGUAGUAAGUUCUAUAGAGCAAAAACAAGUUUAAAGAAGGAGGUUGGGGGGAGUGUUGAGAUGCAUAAGGUUUGCAGUUAUAAAUGUGGUGGUUAGGGAAUCAUUUGCUGAAAAAUGAACAUUGAGCAAAAACCUGAAGGAUGUUAAAGGAAUAAGAUACAUGUAAUCCAGAUGAAAGUUUUUUGGAUAAAGGAAAGAGCAAUUGCUAAAUCCCUGAGGUGGGAGUGGGCUGUUCAUAAGACAGCAAAGCAGCCAGGGUAGCUGAGUGAUUGACAGCGGAAGAUGGAAAAUGGGGAAUAGUUGGUGUAGGACCUAGUUGUGAGGAUAUUGACUUUGUUUUUUUUCCAAGACAGAGCUGUGCUCUGUCGCCCAGGCUAGAGUGCAGUGGCAUGAUCUUGGCUCACUGCAAUCUCCGCCUCCCGGGUUCAAGCAAUGCUCCUGCCUUAGCCUCCCCAGUAGCUGGGAUUACAGGCACCUGCCACCAUGUCCAAUUAAUUUUUGUAUUUUUAGUAGAGAUGGGGUUUCGCCAUGUUAGCCAGGCUGGUCUUGGACUCCUGACCUCAAGUGAUCUGCCCGCCUCAGCCUCCCAAAGUGCUGGGAUUACAGGCGUGAGCCACCAUGCCCACCCUAGGAUAUUUACUUUUAUUUUGAAUAAGGAUGCCACUGGAGGCCAGACGUGGUGGCUAACGCCUAUAAUCCCAGCACUUUGGGAGGACGAGGCGGGUGGAUCACGAGGUUAGGAGAUUGAGACCAUCCUGGCCAACAUGGUGGAACCCCGUCUCUACUAAAAAAAAAAAAAAAAUUAGCCAGGUGUGGUUGCAUGCGCCUGUAGUCCCAGCAACUCAGGAGGCUGAGGAAGGAGAAUCACUUGAACCCGGGAGGUGGAGGUUGCAGUGAGCCGAGAUCGCCCCACUGUACUCCAGCCUGGGUGACAGAGCAAGACUCUGUCUCAAAAAAAAAAAAAAAAAAAAAUGCCACUGGAGAGCUUUGAGGAGAGGAUCAGUCUGGCUACUGGGUUGGGAAUUAAUCAUAGCAGGCAAAGGCAAAAGAAGUGAGGUUAGUUAGGAGGCUUUACAACAACCCAGAUGAGAGAUGGGAGGUUUUAGCCAGGGAGAUGGAGAUGUUGAGAGAGUAGCUGGACUCAGGAUUGUGACAGUGGACUGAAGGAAAAGCAGGUUUUGGGGGAAGAUUGCAUUUCUCCCUUCAACUUCAGUUACGUAGAUCACCCAUAUGCCACACAACUGCAACUCUGUAACAGCCAAUUUUUAGCUUCUUCCUUAUCUAAGCCAUCCUGUAGGCCAUAGGAAUUAAAACUAGGUUGGAUCAAGGAAAAGUGAAUGCUAGAUCCAUACAAAACUAUUUGGAUAUUUGCCUUUGUAUUUUAUUGUUUUGAAAUUAUUUUUAAUGGUUCAAUAAACUCUUACUAGAACUACAAGCAAUAUAAUUAUUUCCUCUGCUUUAUUAGAAAUGUUUUUGUAAUCAUGUUAAUUAUAUUACUUUUAACUAUAUAAGGCUUGUGUCUCUUUUUUAUAAAUUGAUGUUUAUAUCCUCUGUAAGAUAAAUAUAAAGGCUUUUUGUUCAUAUGAGGAUGUGCUGUAAGAUUGCAGGGAGUAUAAAAAUUGGCAAUGGAGUAGGUGACUUGUAUUAUUAGUCUGAUCUUAAUGUUGUAACAUACUGAUCAUGCAAAAUAUAUAAUUAGUUUGUUUUUGCUAUUUAAUAUGUGUAGGACUGUAACAAACAGACUAGAGAAGAUGGCCAUAAGUUACAAGAAAGCAAGUAAAUUACUAUCUAAUUAAAAGUAUUUGAUUCUAAUACUAGCAGAGUUCUGUCUAGAAAAUAAAUUAACUUUCUGUAUGCUUUUUUUGGUCUCAAUUUUCCAAUAAUUUCCCUCAACUCUG